GGCAAAAGUGAUCUGGCUGCGACAUCUGUCACCCCACUGAUAGUCAGGGUUGAUUCGGCUGAUCUGGCUGGGUAAGGUGAGGAGUCCCCUUCCUCUCUCACCACUCCAUGUGGGUCCCUUCUGAAGCUGCAUGGCUGGUCGGAAGAGGCACGAUCUUUCCCAAAUAGAGACGGGACCGGUUUUCCAGUUGAGCAGUUGUGCUCCCCUGCUAGAACCUCCAAAACAAGCUCUCAAGUUCCAAGUCCAAGGCUUUAUCCUCUGUGCCUAGGUGAUGACAAAAACAAAACAAAAUAAAACAAAUAACACCUAUGAAAAUCUGGCCCUCUAAUUCUGAGGAAAUUGUUUUUGUUCUAGUUU
rnacentral:snRNA from 1 species